GCCCGAAUAGCUCAGUCGGUAGAGCAGAGGAUUGAAAAUCCUCGUGUCCCUGGUUCG
rnacentral:tRNA from 15 species